UUCUCCCAAUAAUGAUCACUUAUUAUGAAGGUGAUGAUUCAGGAGUGAAGACAGGUUGAGCUAGCUGCUGGAAACCGAACAAUGUGUGGCAUAUGUUUUACAGCCUUUCACUGCGCUACACUAGCGGUCAUUUCAUUUGUGGUCAAGCAAUACUGCUUUGCCUAUUCAUGCGGCUCAUGCCAUCAACAUUUAAUGCCUCAUGCUGCUCUCUACCGAUGUCUUGGUUGCAGGUGGUGUCUGCUGCAAAGCUUUUCUCAAAAUCUCUGUCCAUGCGCUGUUUUAUCCAGCGAGGAGAAGAUGCACCAAUUGCGGCAUGAAGCAAAUAGCAUGUUUGGCCGACGUUUUUGGGAACUAUGCGGACUCCUUCCAGUUGUUCUCUUGGCUCCCUCACAGUAGCACCAUGCUACGCAUCACAACAUGGAGGAGAGUCCAAGCGUCAGUGACCGGCGAUAUCUGACGGAAGCAUCGGCCAACAUGUGUGGAGGCCAAUGGAACCCAUGUGAAUUAUCCCUGUUUUAGCUCAUUGUGGAUUUUUUAAACUGAAAAUUAUGUUAGUAAUUUCCUGCUACUCACGUCCCUGAUGAUUCCUAGAUGGGAAAAACAACUACAACCUUCCAAUCUCCAUCGCCCCAAGUUCGACCAGGCUGCAACUGAAGGUCUUUUUUCAGCAAAGUCAAUUUCCACAAUGGGUAUUGUACAGGUAGAUAAGCUGCACUAAUGGAAGCUUGAACUUCGAAGAAUAUAGCGCACCGUCCUACCAUCAGUGUGCUGAAGCUGCACUGCACUCCGGAUGGUUAAUGCAUAAAAGGAGCAGAUGUAACGGUUGCAAUUCGAAGCAGAUAGGAUAUCUGCACUCGCCGGGAACUGCAGCGGAGUCCUCUGACCCUCCUCCAAUCAGUUCAAAACUAAACGUAAUAAAAAAAGAGGAGAGGAUGCACAACAGCCGGUGAUGCAUGGCCUGUCUGAUGGCAGACUCAUCUAGGGUUCCACAGUAAGCAGAUGGAGAUGUGAUAUAAUAUCUAUUUUCCUAUUUUUGGUUGAAAAUAUUCUUCGCAUUAACAUCCUGAAGGUCCAUU